CCUACGAGCGGCAGCAGUGGGGAAUAUUGGACAAUGGGCGAAAGCCUGAUCCAGCCAUGCCGCGUGUGUGAAGAAGGCCUUCGGGUUGUAAAGCACUUUCAGUGGGGAAGAAAGCCUUGGGGCUAAUACCCUCGAGGAAGGACAUCACCCACAGAAGAAGCACCGGCUAACUCCGUGCCAGCAGCCGCGGUAAUACGGAGGGUGCGAGCGUUAAUCGGAAUUACUGGGCGUAAAGCGCGCGUAGGCGGUCUGAUAAGCCGGUUGUGAAAGCCCCGGGCUCAACCUGGGAACGGCAUCCGGAACUGUCAGGCUAGAGUGCAGGAGAGGAAGGGAGAAUUCCCGGUGUAGCGGUGAAAUGCGUAGAGAUCGGGAGGAAUACCAGUGGCGAAGGCGGCCUUCUGGACUGACACUGACGCUGAGGUGAGAAAGCGUGGGUAGCAAACAGGAUUAGAUACCCCUGUAGUC
rnacentral:rRNA from 1 species